GACAGAGGGGGCAAGCGUUGCUCGGAAUCACUGGGCGUAAAGGGCGCGUAGGCGGGAUGGCAAGUCAGUCGUGAAAUCUCUCGGCUCAACCGAGAAACGUCGGCUGAUACUGCCGUUCUUGAGGGAUGCAGAGGAGACUGGAAUUCCCGGUGUAGCGGUGAAAUGUGUAGAGAUCGGGAGGAACACCGGUGGCGAAGGCGGGUCCCUGGGCAUCUCCUGACGCUGAGGCGCGAAAGCGUGGGGAGCAAACGGG
rnacentral:rRNA from 1 species